CGGAGUGUUACUCUAUUAUUUAAUGGCGAUGAUUGUUAAUUGUCCCCUUAGAUACUUCUGGGCACGCUUUUAAAUUGUGGCAUUAUUUCUAACAAAAGGCUACAUUUUUAUGUUGUUGCAUAAGAAUUUCAGCCACAACAAAUUUUUGGAGGCAAUCUUCCCUCCAAACUUUUUCACCAAAAAAAUCAAAUCUAUUAUUUUUUAUUUUAUUUUUAAUAAACAUAAACAUUACACUUCCAGACACACUCAAUCUCAAAUCGCUACUAUUCACAUCUACGCCCAAUCUCAUCUACUCACCUUCGACCAUGUUCCUCAAACCCAAAUCAUAAACGGGUCACGACUCAAAACCAAACCCUUCUUGAACCAAUAACCCAAAUCCCAAAUCGAUUUCAUUUUCCCUUCUUGUCUUAGAUCGCUACUCUCCAAACCCAAAUCGCUUCACGCAUCAAACCGCUCAUCUUCACGCCCUCAGAUCUUGGAUUUCUCUCUUCAGACCUCAAAUCCCAAACCGCUACUCUUCACACACAACUCAGAUCGAUUUCUAUUUCCCAAUCUCACGCGAGCUUUUUGGUGCUGAGUUACAGGACCAAGCCAACAUUUCAGAUUACUUCACUUGGCCAGGGGUAAGCUGCAGCAAUCAUUCAAUGUUGGACAACCCUGAUCUUGCUCACUAGAAACAAAGGGAAUGUGACUAAUAUAUCUUAGCUAAAAGCUUUGAAGUUACAUGACCUUUCAAAUAAUAACUUUGGUGGAUUGAUUCCUCUUACUUUUGGAACUUUGAUGAACAUGAGAGUCAUUUAACAUUACUCAAUCUAGCACAUAAGGACUAAGUUGUGGAAUCUAGUGAUAAUGACUCGUCAAUAUAAUGUUAGGAGGAAGCACUCUAAUGUCUUAACUCACUAUUAUGCAAGUAUUUUGCACAGUGUUGAACAACAUCAACUUGUUAUAUCGUGAAUAAUGUAGUACAACUAAGCGAGAAGAAGGAAUUAACUGAAACAAGCCUUAAAACAAACUACUUUGGUGUAGGUGAACAUUGGAGAACUUGGCAUUUACUUUUAGCAAGAAAGGGGCAUAGUUGCCAAAAUCAAGUUAACAUUCAUUAAUUCUCAACUCCAAGUAGGUAAAGGAAGCAAUUUACUCUUAACACAAAGUGAUUUUGAUUAGAAACUUAACUUGUCUGAUUGUUCUGCAUUGGAGCAAUACGAUGAAAAGGGAUCAUCAUCAAAGAUAUGUUGGAAUUGAUCAAGAACAUUGAAAAGUAUGCAAAGGGCAUGUUAUAGGUGGUUCUUCAUAUGAUUAUGCAACCAAGAUAGUGGGGGCAAUGAAAAGAAAUUUACAAUUUACACAAAAAGUGCCCAAUUUUAGUUGUAUUGGUUUUGAGAUAUUGUCUUAAUUUGUAUAUAAGUAGUCAUGGGAGAAGUAACCAUGACUUUAGGUGUUUUAUAGUAAGAGUCCACAUGUUGCUAAUUUUUAGUACCCAUAGAAAGGAGGUACUCUUUAUGCAAUUUUGUAAUACUACAUACAUUUGAAUGAAGGAGUUCAUAUAUUUGCCUCA